ACAACAAAAGCAGGAUUAGCCGACGAUGUAUUUGGCUAAUUAGCGGCGCUAAUUAAAAUGGGGCGUCAGUUAGCGAUCAAGUAUAAAUACCGUACCAAAAAGCCCUAACCCUCUUUUGCUCCCCUCUCUCGACUCUCUCCCUCUCACUACCCCUGACGCUCUCUCUCUCUCUCUCUCAGCAUUGGAUGCUGGACCUAGUGUGGCGUCUGCAUUGAGAAGUGAACUCUCUCUCUCUCUCUCACUUUCUCUAUCUAUCUAUCUAUAUCUCUGUAGAUCUCAAAAAGUAACUUUCACUUUCUCUUUCGUUAUUUUAUCUUUUUCGGCCCUAAUUUGUUCGAUCUCUGUUUGUGAUGAUUUUAGGAGAGGAUUUCAUUCUGUUUUGGGAAAUCUCACAUUUGUUUUGUUUAUUUUCUGAUGAUUUAGUUUCUUGCUUGGGAUUUCUAAGGGUAUUUAUUGGAGGUUCUUUUCAAAUCAGUAGAUUUGGGUGUGUUGUUUAUAUUUUUUGCUUAGGUUUCAUAUUUUCUACUUUUAAAGGAGGUUUCUAUGGAUAUUUCACAUUUCCAGUGGUGGUUUCUAUGGAGUAUUUAGGCUUCUCCCUUCUUUUUUUAUUUUUUUAUUUUUAAACUAAGAAACUAGAUCAGGCACAUAGCAUGAGUCUUCAAAAAAACUCAAAGAAGACCUGCAAAUCCAUUCGCAUGUUUUCCUCAACAAGCUUAACUCAAGCCUGCAAAAAAGGUUGUUGAAUUUCUAUGCAAAAUCUGAAGAGAUUGGGUAUGCACGUGGGGUGUUUGAUGAAAUUCCUGAGAGGAAUUUGAUCACCUGGAGUGCAAUGAUUAGUGCAACUCAAUCAUUUCAAAAUCUGAGAACUUUGAAUUAAAAACUUCAUAAUGAUGAAAAUUGUUAAAACCAUCACAGCAAAGUGAAUGGUUCAAGCUACUUUGCAUAACUAAACAUGAAAAAUUAUAUUUGAAUCUAUAACACUUUGAAUUUCACAAGUUGGUUUCUCAUGUUUAAAUCACUACAAGAAAGAUGGAUGUUGCCAGCGGGUUUCUAUUUUCAUCCAGCAUACAUCGUCGGUAAGGGUCAUUUAUUUACUUUUCCUUAAGCGAAGCUCUACUCAUAUUCUGAACUUGUAGUAGUAAGAGCAAACUUUGUAGUGCUUCCUAAAUAGUUGGACUUCACGGUGAUUCAUUCAUCUUUUUCUUCUCUUCUUGCCUUUUUGUAUGAUUGAAUUCGAUAUACAUUGUAGCUGCCAAGUGGCUGCUCUGUGUGUGUGUGUGUGUGUGUGUGUGUGUGUGUGUGUGUGUGUGUGUGUGUGUGUGUGUGUGUGUGUGUGACCAAUUUUAAGUGCAUUGCAAGCAGGUAGGAUAGAGUCAUGCCUAUGAUAACUAUAAAAUAGAAAAUGUUUAAAGUUAUUUCCCAUUCUUUCCUUCUUGUACUGAUUGUGGAUGUAGGAAGGGAAAAAAAGAAGAAGAAGCAAAUCUUGUCAUUUACGAGUUUGCAAUCUUUGUUUCAACUGAAACAAUGCAGUUACGACCUUUUAGGUCCUAUUGUAUGAGUGAGUUCUUAAUAGUGGUAUUCAAGCAAGACCUAAUCGUAUUGGAGUAAUAUGCUAGUAUGUUGCUUGACAUAAUAGGGGGAUCAUAUGUUAUUUUACUGUUCCCAAAUGGAGUAACAUGGUCAUAACAUGUUUGAUUUUUCAUGUUGAUUUGCCUAGAAACGAACCUAAGGUAGCAUUGGACAUUGACGAUUCAAGAAUCUGCCCAUUUUAUAGGGUUGCAAAUGGAUCCAUUCUCCAAAAAUUAACCAAUCUCGGAUCAAUUAUUAAGUGGGCCUUUGAACUGAGUUGAGAUUUCUAGAGUUCUGCUUCCUUUAUGGUAUUUGGAUUACACGAGGAGGGUUUUAUUGGACUGGGGACAGCGGUUUAAGAAUUUUCUUUCUGGUCACUAGUUGAAAGCCUGCCCUGUUUGUGAACAAAGAGAGAUAAUUCAGAAUUAGCAGAGAUAGAUGUGCUGGAAGGAUAUAAGCAUUGCCACACCACUGACAAGUUGUUCAAUAGAAAAUUUGAAAGGUUUGUAAUUGCAAGGUCCCCUUCAUGGUUACAAUUGUAAUUUGUUUUCUCUUUCUAUACUAAUUUCUUCUGACCGAGGUUUACGAAUGUUGCAGAGGCACCCGAACCAAUGGAAAGUGAUUUCAUGUCCCAAAUCAUAGUAUCGUUUUUUCUCUUGGCCAUUCAAUUUCUUUAAUACAAUGUUCCAACUACUCCAAUAUAUGUUUAUUUAUUUAUUUUGUUCUUUUUGGUAGCAGAGAUACUUGUUGGAUUCUUUUGAUUACACAACUGGCUCAAAGUAUUUGUUGAAGUCAACCUACAUCUAGAUUUGGAGGUGUGGAGAAAGCAUGUACUGCUCUCCUUAAGUAACCAAUUUGCCACGCUGGCAGAUGUCUGGCAUGUUCAUGAGCUGCCUUGUGCAUAUGCCACUAGUCAAGAUCAUACCAUGGGGUGUUCUUCACAUACAUGAGAUUGAGCAAGCAGGAAAUUAGAAAUCUGAUAUAGU